CAAUAGCGUAUAUUAAAGUCGUUGCGGUUAAAAAGCUCGUAGUUGGAUCUCGGCAGGCAGGGGGUGGUUCGCUCUUAGCGCUACUGCCCCAUUUGCCUGUGUGAUUGGCGGAGGUUUCGGGGUGCUCUUCGUUGAGUGACCCGGGGCGCCGUCAGGUUUACUUUGAAAAAAUUAGAGUGCUCAAAGCAGGCUUUUCACGCUUGAAUAUUCGUGCAUGGAAUAAUGGAAUAGGAACUCGUUUCUAUUUUGUUGGUUUUCGGAAAUCGAGUUAAUGAUUAAUAGGGACAAUUGGGGGCAUUAGUAUUCAGACGACAGAGGUGAAAUUCUUGGACCGUCUGAAGACUAACUACUGCGAAAGCAUUUGCCAAGAGUGUUUUCAUUAA
rnacentral:rRNA from 1 species